rnacentral:rRNA from 1 species
GACGAACGCUGGCGGCGUGCUUAACACAUGCAAGUCGAACGGAAAGGCCCUGCUUUUGUGGGGUGCUCGAGUGGCGAACGGGUGAGUAACACGUGAGUAACCUGCCCUUGACUUUGGGAUAACUUCAGGAAACUGGGGCUAAUACCGGAUAGGAGCUCCUGCUGCAUGGUGGGGGUUGGAAAGUUUCGGCGGUUGUGGAUGGACUCGCGGCUUAUCAGCUUGUUGGUGAGGUAGUGGCUUCCCAAGGGUUUGACGGGUAGCCGGCCUGGGAGGGUGACCGGCCACAUUGGGACUGAGGUACGGAGCAGACGGCUACGGGCGGCAGCAGGGGGGAAUAUUGCAGAAUGGGCGGAAGCCUGAUGCAGCAACGCCGCGUGCGGGAUGACGGCCUUCGGGUUGUAAACCGCUUUCGAAUGUGACGAAGCGUGAGUGACGGUAAUGGGUAAAGAAGCACCGGCUAACUACGUG